rnacentral:rRNA from 1 species
CGUAACGCUGGCGGCGUGCCUAACACAUGCAAGUCGAGCGGCGAAUGGAGCAAUCCUAGUAGAGCGGCGCACGGUGUGCGUAACACUGUGGGUAAUCUGCCUGGAAGCUUGGGAUAACCAGUCGAAAGAUUGGCUAAUACCAGAUAAGCCCACGGGGACUUCGGUCCCUGAGGGAAAAGGUGGACCUCUGUAUAAAGCUAUCACUUCCAGAUGAGAGCCCGCGGCCCAUCAGCUAGGUUGGUAGGUGGUAAUGGCCUACCCAAUGGCGAAAGACGGGUAGCUGGUCUGGAUGAGGACGAUCACAGCCACAACUGGAACUGAAGACACGGUCCAGACUCCUACGGGAUGGCAGCAGUGGGGAAUAUUGCGCAAUGGGCGCAAGCCUGACAUCGCAGCAACGCCGCGUGUAGUGAUGAAGGUCCUUCGGGUUCGUAAAGCAUCUUUCGAAGGGGACGAGAAAAACCAUUGAAGCUAACAUCUCAGGCUUGACUGAUUGGUACCGGGAGAAGAUUAGCAACCGGCUAACUCCUGUGCCAGCAGCCGCUGGUAAUACAGGAGGGUGCAAGCUGUUGCUUCGGAAUCAUUGGGCGUAAAGCGCGCUGUAGGACGGUUUGCACAAGUCGGGUGUGAAAGCCCUCAGGCUUAACCUGGGAAGUGCAGCCCGAAACUGCAUGAGCUUGAGUGCCGGAGAGGAUCGGCGGAAUUCCCAAGUGUAGAGGUGAAAUUCGUAGAUAUCGGGGAGGAACACCAGGUGGCGAAGGCGGCCACUCUGGGCUAGAUACUUGACGCUGAUGAUGCGAAAGCGUGGGGAGCAAACAGGAUUAGAUACCCUGGUAGUCCACGCCGUAAACGAUGAGAUACCUAGUCGUACGUCGGGUAGUUGACCCCCUGCGGGCACGAAGAUUAACGCAUUAAGCGUCUCCGCCUGGGAAGUACGGUCCGCAAGGCUAAAACUCAAAGGAAUUGACGGGGGCCCGCACAAGCGGUGGAGCAUGUGGUUCAAUUCGACGCAACGCGCAGAACCUUACCUGGGUUAAAUCCAACCCGGAACCCUUCAGAGAUGAGGGGGUAGCCCGCAAGGGAGCCGGUGAGAAGGUGCUUGCAUGGCUGUCGUCAGCUCGUGUCGUGAGAUGUUGGGGUUAAGUCCCGCAACGAGCGCAACCCAUGUCUUCAGUUGCCAACGGGAAAGCCGGGCACUCUGGAGAGAGACUGCCGACGUUAAGUCGGAGGAAGGUGGGGAUGACGUCAAGUCCUCAUGGCCCUUUAUGCCCAUGGGCUACACACGUGCUACAAUGGCCGGUACAGAGGGUCGCUAGCUCGCAAGAGUAUGCCAAUCUCAAAAAACCGGUCUCAGUUCGGAUAGAAGUCUGCAACUCGACUUCUUGAAGUCGGAAUCGCUAGUAAUCCCGGAUCAGCACGCCGGGGUGAAUACGUUCCCGGGCCUUGUACACACCGCCCGUCACACCAUGGGAGUCAGUUUGCUCCAGAAGUGGCUUGCCUAACCGUAAGGAGGGCGGUCCCUAAGGAGUGGCUGGUAACUGGGGUG